ACAUAGCCAGCACUCAAAGAAUGUCAGAUGCUAUUCUUUCCCUCUCCUCCUUCAUAAUAGCAGCAGCAGUAGUAGGGGGAGUAGUUGUUGUAAUGGUACUAAACACUGGCAAGGACUUGUAAGGUUAGUGGUAAAUAAUGUAAUAGUAGUAAACACUGGCAAAAUCACACAGGUUCAUAGGUAGGACUGGGGUUAAAUCCUAGUACUGCCAUUUAAUCGGGGCUGCUGCAGGCAUAUAAAGAACCUUUGUGCAAAUUAUAAAAGAUGUCACCCCUGGAAGAUAGAUUACAAACAGAUGCCCCUUCCUCUGGAUGGAGGAAUCUGCCAAAGGAAAGACACAAGACUUGGCCAGAAGAGCAGCUGGGCAAGUGGAGCACUGCUGGGGUUUCAGCCUCUGCUCAUCACCUCAUCAGUCAGUAUCAUCGUCACCACCAUCAAGAACCCGGAAGAAAAACUAAGCCUCAGAAAAGGUAUUCAAUGCCUCAAGAGGAACUGGUCUGGCUGGAGCAUGCAGGCAUAAAACAGGUACCAAAAAUCAUCUUGAGUCAGCAAAAAGAGCUGCAGGGUAGCUUGUCUGAACAAUAGACAGACUUAGCUUGUCUGAACUAGAGUUUCUUCACUUGUAAAAUGUAAAACAUCGCCUACUCCACAAGGUUUUUGCAAGGAUGAAAUGAGAUUCUAUAUGUAAAGCACCUAGUACAGUGUCUGGUUUGCGUGAGCUCCUCAAAGAAAUGAGUUUCCUUCUCUCUUCUACGGUUAUGGUUAAGAUUUGAGACAAGUAAUUUAACCAGUUAGCCUCCCCUAUAUAAUGGAAGAUAAUACAUACUUCUGAUGAAAAGACACUACAUAAAACAAAAUAUGAUUAUUAACCAUCAAGAUUAAUACCUGGAGGCACUAAUUCAAUGUAUAAAAUAUGCAAAGGUGCCAAUUCAGUAAUAAAUACACUAUGGCAGGAGCUUGUCCCAAGAUGCCAAUUUGCUGAAGUAAGAGGUACAUGCUAGGGCCAAAGUGCCAGGGACACCGACUAAAGCAGCCAGAGAGGGAAGGCUACUACUCUCCUAGAGAUGUUCAGCACUGAGUAAAAAUCCCAAGAGAGCUAACAACCACCCAUCAAGGAAUAAGUAGAGCUAAAGGAAGUGGCAACCGUACAGGCAUGUGGAGUGAUACAGUGGAAAGAGCACAGGAAAACUGGGCCCUGGAAACCCUGUGUUCUACCUCCAGAUCUGCUGCAAGUGGAUGUGAGAGUUUGGCAAGUCCUUUAAAAUGCCCGAGUAUUCAUUUUAACUCUGGAAAACAGAGAUGAAAAUGCCAGCUCUAUCUAGCUUGCAAAGAGAAUGUGCCUUGUAAAGUAGAAAGCACAAUAUAAAUGUUAAGUUAAAUUACUAUGAUUGUGCAAACAUACAAAUAUAGGAAAUAAAAGACUAAACUAAGGAAGCCCCAAAGGUUGACAACAAGACGGGGCAAUGAAGGCCAUCACUCUGAUUAGGACACCAGGUGAAGGUUCCAAGGAAGUAACACCGAGGAGCUGAGUCUUCGUACCCAGUACUCAGGGUGUAGACUACAAUCCACUAUAUCAAGGGAAUAGGGCAGUACUGGUUAUAAACAGGCACCAAGAAACAUUUAAGUUAUACUCUGCUUAAUUUUUUAAAAAUACAAUCAAAACACUACAACAAUAAUGCUGUUACCAUUUCCAUUCCUUGUCUUUGGAAUAGUACAAUGGGCUUAGCAUUCUGUCUUUACUGUGAUGAGUGACGUAUUAUAUAACACGAAAAUGCAUUGCUAUUAAUAAGGAACCUAGAUCAUGGGGCCAUAAGCUUUUGUGGACAGGCCCCACACCCAGUUUAAGCUGGUCGGCUUUUCCUGCAUGAUACUGGGUCCACACAGACUACUUGGAGAGAUGAUCAUUUAUUGCAAGGACAUUUGAAAACAUGAGCAACAAAGGAAAGCACUUUGUGUGCACUGUGCUCACUCUGGCUCCAGCUCUCCUGGCUCUGGGAUGCAGACUGGGUUUCAUAAGCAAGGAGGAAAAGUUGCUUAGCACUGUUCCAGGUAACGAUUCAGAAGUGAGUGACAGUACAGCUCUUGUUUGCCCUGCAUGUCUGUUACAGAGAGAUCCGACUUGACUUUCGGGCCCUCCUGGUAUAUGGACUUGUAUUGGGUGAACUGAGCAGGUCCACUCUGCUGCGGCUGGAUCACUGCUAGCUCCUGGCCCAUCCUUCAACAAGGCGAGCUGUCCAACUGACAGCUACAAAA